rnacentral:rRNA from 1 species
GAUUUCUGGCGAACCGUUGCGGCCCGUGCUCAUUUUGGGCGUGUGUGCCGUGCAUCCUUCCAGAAAGCUGCGUCUACUGGCCGGACGUACGUGAUCUGGAUCGAUUACUUUGAAAAAAUUAGAGUGUUUAAAGCAGGCUUAUGCUGUGAAUACAUUAGCAUGGAAUAAUAAUUUAGGACUUCGGUUCUAUUUUGUUGGUUUCUAGGACUGAAGUAAUGAUUGAUAGGGACAGUUGGGGGUGCUAGUAUUCCGCGGCCAGAGGUGAAAUUCUUGGAUUCGCGGAAGACUAACUACUGCGAAAGCAUU